CGACCGGCGCACGGUGCGUAACGCGUAUGCAACCUACCUUUAACGGGGGAGUAACACUGAGAAAUUGGUACUAAUACCCCAUAAUAUCAUAGAAGGCAUCUUUUAUGGUUGAAAAUUCCGAUGGUUAGAGAUGGGCAUGCGUUGUAUUAGCUAGUUGGUGGGGUAACGGCUCACCAAGACGAUGAUAGGUAGGGGUUCUGAGAGGAAGGUCCCCCACAUUGGAACUGAGACACGGUCCAA
rnacentral:rRNA from 1 species